rnacentral:lncRNA from 1 species
GGCAUGGUGUGCACCACCAUUCCAAGAUACUGUUCUAGUUUUGUUGUUGUUGUUGUUUUCUAAGAAAGAAUGUAUUCAGUAAUUUUUUUUUUCUGUUUUUUAAUGUAUUGGCCUAGAGAUAUGGUUAAGUCUGAGAAAUUUGCUCCCUUGGCCAAACCCAAAGAUGGCCUUGUUAGAGACCUGACACUGUAAAACCACAACACAAGGAAAAGACCACAGACUCCAAUUUUAUAUGAAAUUAAAGCAAACUUAUAUUUAUGUUCCCAGGAGCUGGCCAUGUCUGUCUCCCCCCAACCCCAGGCUAAAGAUACCCCAGCUCUCUAGGAACACAAUUUUAUAGCACAAAAGUUGUAAAAUGGGAUGUCUUGAGAACUUACAGAUCACAGGAUUGGACAAGCCUAAUACAAAGGCAGAUACUAACUUAAUAAUCUUCAUGGCUUAACAUUUCAAGGUAGGGAAUAAAUUCAGAUCCCAACCUCAGAAUUUAUGAGGUGCCACUGAGGUUCCACAGAGGGUUGUUAUUUGGUCAGUGGGAGGCAGGAUUUAUGAAGAACCACAAAGGUUCUGGAGAAGAUUGUUAUCUGGUCAGGGAAAGCCAGGCAUAGGUGAGUAGAAGCCCUGGGCAGGGAUUACAAACAAGUUUAGAAAUUGCAGUAAUUUAGAGUAAAACAGAAAUUAACUUUUCCUGACUUGAUAAUGAGAUGGCUCCUAAUCUUAAAAUGGAAUUUGGCUGGGUUCAUCAGAGUUUCAUUCUCAAAUUCAUUACAUUUAUGCUCCCACCCACCUUCUUUGCACCACAAUAAUAAGGGGGCUGGGAGUGUUCCUCAGGGUUACAAUGCUCCUGCCAUGGAUUCAAUGCCCAACACUGAGUGUUAGACCAGGAUGCAAGAAAAGACCACUGACUCCAAUUAAAAUCAAAUUAAAGCAAGCUUAUUAUUUCGACCAGCCGGGCUGCCUCCCCCUCCCCAAACAGCGGGAACAAGACAGCCCCCACCUUUCCUACAGCCCAGCUUUAUAGCCCAGAAAGUUACACAAAAGGGGGGUUACAGAUAACAGAACUCUGACAAGCAUCACACUAAUGGUAGUUUACAUUUUUUUUUUUUUGCUGGCCCCAACAUCAGAAUUUAUGAGUACAAUUAGAGCCUCAGAGAGGGUUGUUGACUGGCCAGGGAAGGCCAAUAUUUAUAAGGUGUCACUACAGUUUCAGAGAGGGCUGCUAUCUGGUCAGAGAGCCAGGCAUGGGUGAGUUCAAGGCAGGGGCAGGCAUUCUAAGCAGGUUCAGAAUUUACAGUAAUUUGUAGUAAAGCCAAAAUUAUCUUUUCAUGGCUUUGUGGCAAGAUGGCUCCCAAUUUUAAUAAAAGAUCAGGUUGGGUUUAUCAUGAGGGGGGAAAAAAGCACCUGGGGUUGAAUCCUCAGCCUUCAAAGGGUAUAUGGCUGUAAGGGUAAAAGAAAUUGAAGUUAAAGUGUAAAAGUUAAAGUGUAAAAGACCGGGUGUUGUAAAGUUUCUAAGCUGCAAGGCCUGAGUUAAAAUGUAAAGGACCAGGUAUUGUUAAGUUCCUAUGCUACACACAAAACCUGAAAUUCCUGUAGCUGUUAAGACAAUACUCGAACUGCCCAGUAAAUAUUCCCCCUGACCGCCUGGUUGUUUAAUAACUUAGGGCCCUGUGCGAUCUUGCACGUAGGCAUCGUAGGCAUCGCAGGGCCUAAACCAAUCAGUUUGAAUGUGUACCCCGCUUUAGAACUGACCUAUCACCCCCGCCCGACCUGUUCCCGCCAAUGAAUGAACUAAUCAUGUUUAGGAAUUGUUGUUUGAUUUUCCCGCAGUGUAUGAUGAUUUGUUAAAGGAGACUGUGAUGUAUGUAAAGUCCCCGCCCUCCCCAAGAAGUGUACUUAAGCAUUGUACAACCCCUGCUCUGGGCUCUGGGCUGCUCUCCUUUCUUGAGUGAGCACGGAGCCCCAGGGCGCUGGAUUGGAUCCAAU